GUGACAGGUCACAGCAGAUACAGCAGACACGUCAGGCAAGGAUUGGGGAACUGCCCAUGGACAGACAGCAGAGCAGAAUUGCAAGUGACUUCAGGAGCACCCUUACAGGACAUCAUUAAGGGACAUCCAGCUUGCUCUUCAAUUUCUUCAGAUUUCAAGUUGACUCUUCACUCAAAUCUGGAUUUUUUCCAUUCUAACCACACUGUAGAAGCAGAGUCCUGCAAAAUGGCAAGUGUGUCUUUUUCUACUCUUGCUCGUCAAUGCACUGACAUGGGGUUGAAUCAGAUAUGGGAAACCUGGGAUCUCUCACCUCUGCCACUGGUGUGGCCUUAGAGGGUUGCCUUAUGGCAUCCAAGGCAGCCUGCUGCCCCACUCAGCACCUAUCACUGCAAACAAAACCGCUGCACAAAUGAAAUAUCACCCUUGAAAUAUCAUCCUUGGAAAAGUUCUGCUUCUCCAGAUGAGGCAUGCAAUGAAAUAAUUAUUUGAUGCACUCUCACCCAUUGUGCCCAAGGCAGUAGCAUUCAAUUUUUUGUGCUGAUUUGACCGUGCUGAUCCAUUCAUUAAUACUGUGUCUUUUGCUGGUCAGUAAGUAAUUGGGAGCCUAGCCACUGCUAGAAAAAAAAAAAA